GUUUCACAGGGUGGGGGUUUUGUUCUUUUGCCCUUUGCAGUAAAUCUUGCUGCUACUAACUCUUUGGGUCCACGCUGCCUUUGUGAGCUUUAACACUCACCACGAAGGUCUGCAGCUUCACUCCUGAAGCCAGCGAGACCACGAACCCACACUGAAGGAAGGAAACUCGGAACACAUCCGAACAUCAGAAGGAACAAACUCGACACGUUGCCUUUAAGAACUGUGACACUCACCGCGAGGGUCGGCGUCUCCAUUCUUGAAGUCAGUGAGACCAAGAACCCACCAACCAAUUCCGGACACAAUCUCAGCACUGUGGGAGACUGAGGCACCUGCCAAACCUGCACAGAUUCCUACAGCAGCCAGUUCGCUCUGUCUCGAGGCUUCAGAGGAACACGAACUUCUCUGAUGGAAGAGCCUUGUUCUAGAAGGGAGUGAAGCCUAGGUCUUUCCUGAGCACACAGAAGAUCAAGACCACACUCACUGACUUCUCAUAGUCAAGCAAUUUUGGCCAAUUAAAUGUCAGUUGGAAACUCCUGUGUCAGCUUCUCUGUGGCGGUGAGAAGUCCCUGUGUGACAUCCCAACUCUCCCCUCACCUGCGUUGGCAACCAAGAAAGCCUUGUGUUGGAGGUGGGGCCACAAGUUUAAAGCUAAGUUACCACCUCGAGGGCACAUUCCUGGAGAGCUUCCCAGGCCCACAGUGGCACGUGUAUGAGUGACAGAUCCACUUCUUUAUUACCUUUUUGAAGAACAGGAACCUUUGUCUGGAAAUUCCACAAGUAUGCCUUUUGCAAGAUUAAAAGUGCCACAAAGAACAAAAAUGAGCCCAGGACCAGAUGCAUGUUAAAAGCCAUCAGACACGUUAAGUUUCAUCUCCAUUGACCUGCAGAAGGAGUCUCUCACCACAGCCACCACAUCUAUGCAUGUGCUGAGUCACAUGUGAAGCCAGCACAUCUCAGAGUCUCACCGAAAGCUCAUGGUGAGACAAAGAGACUAGAAGGGGUAGAGUCAGCUAACUUCUCUCCUCCCACCACUGAUGAGGUUUUGGUGAAUUCUCUUCCCUUGCUCAGGACUAUUUGGUUUCUAUUCUACUUCUGGCCUUUCAUAUUCCUGAUGGUGCAUUGGAUGAAACCCCGCAGCCAGGCGUGUGAACGUGGUUGAAAAGACCCAUGGAGGACCAGCAACGCUUCCCCACAGCGUGGGAUGGUCCCCUCCUGAGAUGGCCCACUGUCAGCGGGACUGGUACAUGAGUUGUUUUCCCAGCUGAGAGGAUGGGUCAUAAGACCCACUUAUACUUUUUGUCCUGGUCUCUUUUUAACUAACUACACAAUUGUACAAUCCCUGGCCAGGGUCCAUGACUGAGGACAGAGUUUUCCUGUGUAGAUUUUUUUCUGCAGCAAACAUUUGCACUGAGCUGUAGGAAUAGACUGGGCAUGGCCACCAUUUUUCCAAUUCCAGUGGGAUUAUCCGGGCAAAAACUUCAGAAAACUUGUGGGAUUCUAGAGUAGGCCGAACAGGCUCAUGACACAUUCCCUGUCCUUACCAGACGCCAAGCACUGCAUCCUGUCUGCUUCUUGAACAGCCCCUUCAUUGUUUGUUCAGCUAUUCUGCUGCAUCUGCAGAUAGCCCUGCCUGAGAAACAGCCUCAAACCAGAAGGAGAGGAUGGCGGCAAGCCUUAGAGAAACAUCAAAAUUUGCUAUUAAGAAAAUAGUGAAGAAGUCUCAUCAGAGAGAAGUUAAAAGCAUACUAGUGGAUUCCUUGGGGCUGCAGAAAGAGUAGCAAAAAGUUGGAGAAAACAUCAACUACACCAAAGGAAUUUUAGGAGCUUGGUCCCCAGCAAAGCUCAUGGAAUCUCUCUCUGCAAGGAAGAGUCAGUUUUAAAAGCCCUCAGCCUGCUCUCAAUGGGUCCUGCCUCCUUCCCUGCCUGCACCCCAACACUGGGGAAAGGAGAAACCUCCGUUAGCAAGUUGGAGAAAAGGAGUUGAGGAAGGAAGAGGAUAGCCCGGCCCCCUCCCUGACUGCAGGUUUUUCUUUUUCUUUUUAACAGUGGAUUCUAGCGAGGGGAGGGCAAAUCCCUGAAACCUUGAAUGAAGUUGGAAGCCUUUACUAGUUUGUGUGUUUGGAAUUCUAAGUAGAAAUUGAGACUGUGUUUUGUGACUCAAAUGACUAAGAUUUUCUGUUACCUACGAGUGGCCAAAAUGUCAAGUAUUCAUCCGGGGGCAGGGUGAAAACUAGACCUACUGAGAAAGUUAAAAGACAAGGGGAAAACACAAUAAACCUGCUGUAUUUUUACCUCCAAAGUGUCCAUUCAAUUUACUGGCUGUAGUAGUUUGAAAGCAAGGUUCUGUGAUAUCAUUCCAGAGUUGAGAGUAACAAAAGCUGAUAAUUGUAAAUGCAGCACUAUCCAAUGGAAAUAUAAUGCAAAUUAUAUGCGUGACUUAACAUUUUUU
rnacentral:lncRNA from 1 species